rnacentral:rRNA from 1 species
UAAGGAAUAUUGGACAAUGGGCGCAAGCCUGAUCCAGCCAUGCCGCGUGAAGGAUGAAGGCCCUAUGGGUUGUAAACUUCUUUUAUGCGAGAAUAAAUGUGGUCAUUCAUGAUCAUUUGAAGGUAUCGUAAGAAUAAGCACCGGCUAACUCCGUGCCAGCAGCCGCGGUAAUACGGAGGGUGCAAGCGUUAUCCGGAAUCACUGGGUUUAAAGGGUGCGUAGGCGGCUUUAUAAGUCUGUUGUGAAAGCCAUCGGCUUAACCGAUCGAAUUGCAAUGGAUACUGUAGAGCUUGAAUCAGGUUGAGGCAGGCGGAAUGCGACAUGUAGCGGUGAAAUGCUUAGAUAUGUCGUAGAACACCAAUUGCGAAGGCAGCUUGCUGGACCUUGAUUGACGCUGAGG